AACGUAAGCAUUUAACAAGCCCAUUAUGAUUUUUUAAAAAAAAUGGUAUUAAGUUCUUGGGUGUGGUGGCUCAUGGCCGUAAUCCCAGAACUUUGGGUAGCCGAGGUGGGUGCAUCCCCUGAGGUCGAGAGUUUAAGACCAGCCUGGCCAACAUGGUGAAACCCCGUCUCUAACGAAAAUACGAAAAUUAGCCAGGCAUGGUGGCAGACGCCUGUAACCCCAGUUACUUGGGAGGCUGAGGGAGGAGAAUCACGAACCCGGGAGGGAGAGUUUACAAUGAGCCAAUAUCGUGCCAUUGCACUUCAGCCUGGGCGUUGAGUGUAAAACUCCAUCCCAAAAAGAAAAAAAAAAGUAUCAAGUUUUCCUUCCAAUGAACCUAUCAUUCAGCCACCAAGGUAUACUAUAGCUACUUAUUCAGCCAUGAGAUACACCACAGGAGAUAUAGGCGAACAGGACACAGUUCUUCCCUGAAAGAAGUCUACACCCUCAACAGAAGGGAGGCGCACACUCCGAAUGGAAUCGGCAUAGGAAACAGAUGCUGCUGCAGGUGGAACUGGCCGCACAGAGCACCCGCUCCAGUGUCUGAGAAACAAGGAGCCGUUGGUGCCAUCACCUUCCAUACCUGAGCUGGGACAGUGGGGAGCCUGUCAUCACCACCACCACCACCCGGGACAAAGAGCCCCAGAACCACACAACGAGCUUACAAACUCACCGAGACGAUGACCGAGCAAUGUGCGUGGAGUGAUGCGAACACGCAGACGUCAGGGCCACGCGUGGCGUUGGUUUUGUGCAUCAACCUGAGCGUGCCCGGGGUGCCCAGAUGGCUGGUUCUGUAUUAUUUCUGGGUGAGAUGCAUGUUUGCCUCUGGAUUGAGUGGAGACCCAUCCUCGCCGGUGUGGGGGACACCACCCUGUCCACCCAGGGCCCGAGUAAAACAGCAAGGUGGGGAAAACUGGGUUCACUCCACCUGUCUGGCUGAUAGGCCAGUGACAUCUGUCUUCUGCAGCCCGUGCUACUGGGUCUCAGCUCCUCAGACCCGGGUGGGAUCUGCACCCUCCGCUUCUCAAGUCUUCAAGCCACACCCUCCCAGGACUCUAGCUUGCAGGCUGUGGGUCCUGGGGCUUCUUGGACUCUGUAGCCCCUGCAGCAAGCCUCCCCCUGGAGACACACGCACACCCGGCUGGCUGUCUCUCUGGAGAGCCCUGACUAAAAGCUGCCCCUAAAAGUGGUCUUCAGAGUUUCUUUCUAGCCCUAAGAUCCCAGCACCCCUCCUACAAUUCUAGGCGGAAAGGUGAACGGAGACCAAUGGACAGAGGUGUGUGCGAGGACACGCCAGGCAACCGCACUGGGCAGGAGGGCACUAACGCUCACUAAGCAAAGAAUCAAUGUUGCUUGCCACAAAAAUGAGAACCGUAA
rnacentral:lncRNA from 1 species